rnacentral:rRNA from 1 species
UACGUAGGGGGCGAGCGUUGUCCGGAAUUACUGGGCGUAAAGGGCACGCAGGCUGUGCUUCAAGUCAGCUGUAAAAGGAUGCGGCUUAACCGUGUUAUGCGGCUGAGACUGAGGUGCUGGAGUACCGGAGAGGCAAGUGGAAUUCCCAGUGUAGCGGUGAAAUGCGUAGAUAUUGGGAAGAACAUCGGUGGCGAAGGCGACUUGCUGGACGGUAACUGACGCUGAGGUGCGAAAGCCAGGGUAGCGAACGGG